rnacentral:rRNA from 1 species
UACGUAGGGGGCAAGCGUUGUCCGGAAUCAUUGGGCGUAAAGCGCGUGUAGGCGGCCCGGUAAGUCCGCUGUGAAAGUCGGGGGCUCAACCCUCGAAUGCCGGUGGAUACUGUCGGGCUAGAGUGCGGGAGAGGCGAGUGGAAUUCCCGGUGUAGCGGUGGAAUGCGUAGAGAUCGGGAAGAACAUCAGUGGCUAAGGCGGUCUGCUGGGCCGUUGCUGACGCUGAGGCGCGACAGCGUGGGGAGCAAACAGG